rnacentral:rRNA from 1 species
GACGAACGCUGGCGGCGUGCCUAAUACAUGCAAGUAGAACGCAGUUGCGAACGGGUGAGUAACGCGUAGGUAACUGCCUCAUAGCGGGGGAUAAGUAUUGGAAACGAUAGCUAAUACCGCAUACUGUGAGAUGGACCUGCGUUGUAUUAGCUAGUUGGUGAGGGAAAGGGUCACCAAGGCGAAGAUACAGAGCCGAGCCGGGAGGGUUGUCGGGCACAAUUGGAAUUGGAACCGGCCCAGGAUCCUCCGGGAGGCAGCAGUAGGGAAUCUGUGGCCAUGGACGAAAGCCUGCCGAGGACCUGCGCGGGGUUUAAAAAGGUUUUUGGAUUGUAAAGCUACGUUGUUAUAGAAGCGUUAACUAACCAGAAAGGGCCGGCUAACUACGUGCCAGCAGCCGCGGUAAUAC